rnacentral:rRNA from 1 species
AGUGAACGCUGGCGGUAGGCCUAACACAUGCAAGUCGAACGGCAGCACAGUAAGAGCUUGCUCUUACGGGUGGCGAGUGGCGGACGGGUGAGGUAUACAUCGGAAUCCACUUUUUCGUGGGGGAUAACGUAGGGAAACUUACGCUAAUACCGCAUACGACCUACGGGUGAAAGCAGGGGAUCUUCGGACCUUGCGCGAUUGGAUGAGCCGAAGUCGGAUUAGCUGGAUGGCGGGGUAAAGGCCCAACAAGGCGACGAUCCGUAGCUGGUCUGAGAGGAUGAUAGGCUACAGUGCGAGUGAGACACGGCCCAGAAUGCGAAGGGAGGGAGGAGUGGGGAAGAUAGGACAGUGGGAGAAAGAAUGAUAAAGCCAUGCAGCGUGAGUGAGGAAGGAAUUAGGGUUGUAAAGCACUUUUACCCGGGAUGAUAAUGACAGUACAGGGAGAAUAAGCACCGGCUAACUCCGUG